rnacentral:rRNA from 1 species
AGAGUUUGAUCCUGGCUCAGGAUGAACGCUGGCGGCGUGCCUAACACAUGCAAGUCGAACGAAGCUUGACGGAUGAUUUCUUCGGAAUGAAACCAGAUAUGACUUAGUGGCGGACGGGUGAGUAACACGUGAGCAACCUGCCUUUCAGAGGGGGAUAACGGCUGGAAACGGUCGCUAAUACCGCAUGAUGUGUUCGGAUGGCAUCAUCUGAACAUCAAAGAUUUAUCGCUGAAAGAUGGGCUCGCGUCUGAUUAGAUAGUUGGUGGGGUAACGGCCUACCAAGUCUACGAUCAGUAGCCGGACUGAGAGGUUGAACGGCCACAUUGGGACUGAGAUACGGCCCAGACUCCUACGGGAGGCAGCAGUGGGGAAUAUUGCACAAUGGGGGAAACCCUGAUGCAGCAACGCCGCGUGAAGGAUGACGGUUUUCGGAUUGUAAACUUCUUUUCUUAGUGACGAAGACAGUGACGGUAGCUAAGGAAUAAGCAUCGGCUAACUACGUGCCAGCAGCCGCGGUAAUACGUAGGAUGCAAGCGUUAUCCGGAUUUACUGGGUGUAAAGGGAGCGCAGGCGGGACUGCAAGUUGGAUGUGAAAUACCGUGGCUUAACCACGGAACUGCAUCCAAAACUGUAGUUCUUGAGUGAAGUAGAGGCAAGCGGAAUUCCGAGUGUAGCGGUGAAAUGCGUAGAUAUUCGGAGGAACACCAGUGGCGAAGGCGGCUUGCUGGGCUUUAACUGACGCUGAGGCUCGAAAGUGUGGGGAGCAAACAGGAUUAGAUACCCUGGUAGUCCACACUGUAAACGAUGAUAGCUAGGUGUGGGGGGUCUGACCCCUUCCGUGCCGGAGUUAACGCAAUAAGCUAUCCACCUGGGGAGUACGACCGCAAGGUUGAAACUCAAAGGAAUUGACGGGGGCC